GUUCAGCUCCUCAUCAUUUAACCCUUUAAUUAGUAUAACUAAUUCUAAACCCCCAAACAAUACUGAGCUAUUCUAUAAACUAUAGAAGCACUUAUGCUAGAACUAGUAAUGUGAAUACACGAUUCUCCUUAAUGUAAGUGUAAAUCAGAUCGAAUAAAUCACUGAUAAUUAACGUCCUCCCUGAGAUCCUUGCAAUAACAAAACAAGAAAACCAUGCACUUAUUACCGUUAAUCUAACACAAGAACAUUACAGGAAAGAUUAAAAGACGCAGAAGGAACUCGGCAAACUAUGAACCCCGCCUGUUUACCAAAAACAUCGCCUCUUGCUAAAAAACAUGUAUAAGAGGUCCAGCCUGCCCAGUGACUAUAUGUUCAACGGCCGCGGUAUUCUGACCGUGCAAAGGUAGCGUAAUCACUUGUCUUUUAAAUAAAGACUGGUAUGAACGGCACCACGAAGGUUCAACUGUCUCCUGCAUCCAAUCCAUUAAACUGACCUCCCCGUGCAGAGGCGGGGAUACAACCAUAAGACGAGAAGACCCUAUGGAGCUUUAAACUAAAGGCAACUGCCAACUUCAACCUAACCCAUAAGGAAAUAACAAUUAAACAAGCAGAAACUGACCUAAAGUUUUCGGUUGGGGCGACCACGGAGAAUAAAAAAUCCUCCUUGAAGAAUAGGGCCUACCACCCUUAACCAAGAACCACCAUUCUAAGUAACAAAAUUUAUGACUAUAAUUGAUCCAGUCCUACUGAUCAACGAACCAAGUUACCCUAGGGAUAACAGCGCAAUCCAUUUCAAAAGUUCCUAUCGACAAAUGGGUUUACGACCUCGAUGUUGGAUCAGGGCAUCCCAGUGGUGCAGCCGCUACUAAAGGUUCGUUUGUUCACGAUAAAGCCUACGUCAUCGG
rnacentral:misc_RNA from 1 species